GAUGAACGCUGGCGGCGUGCCUAAUACAUGCAAGUCGAGCGAACAGACGAGGAGCUUGCUCCUCUGACGUUAGCGGCGGACGGGUGAGUAACACGUGGAUAACCUACCUAUAAGACUGGGAUAACUUCGGGAAACCGGAGCUAAUACCGGAUAAUAUAUUGAACCGCAUGGUUCAAUAGUGAAAGACGGUUUUGCUGUCACUUAUAGAUGGAUCCGCGCCGCAUUAGCUAGUUGGUAAGGUAACGGCUUACCAAGGCAACGAUGCGUAGCCGACCUGAGAGGGUGGUCGGUCACACUGGAACUGAGACACGGUCCAGACUCCUACGGGAGGCAGCAGUGGGGAAUAUUGGACAAUGGGCGAAAGCAUGACACAGCAAUGCCGCGUGUGUGAAGAAGGUCUUCGGAUUGUAAAGCACUUUAAGUUGGGAGAAAGGGAAGUAAGUUAAUACCUUGCUGUUUUGACGUUACAAACAGAAUAAGCACCGGCUAACUUCGUG
rnacentral:rRNA from 1 species